rnacentral:rRNA from 1 species
AACGAACGCUGGCGGCAUGCCUAACACAUGCAAGUCGAACGAGGCCUUCGGGUCUAGUGGCGCACGGGUGCGUAACGCGUGGGAACCUGCCCUUAGGUUCGGAAUAACUCCCCGAAAGGGGUGCUAAUACCGGAUAAUGUCUUCGGACCAAAGAUUUAUCGCCUUUGGAUGGGCCUGCGUUGGAUUAGCGAGUUGGUAGGGUAAAAGCCUACCAAGGCGACGAUCCAUAGCUGGUCUGAGAGGAUGAUCAGCCACACUGGGACUGAGACACGGCCCAGACUCCUACGGGAGGCAGCAGUGGGGAAUAUUGGACAAUGGGCGAAAGCCUGAUCCAGCAAUGCCGCGUGAGUGAUGAAGGCCUUAGGGUUGUAAAGCUCUUUUACCCGGGAUGAUAAUGACAGUACCGGGAGAAUAAGCUCCGGCUAACUCCGUG